rnacentral:lncRNA from 1 species
UUUGAUUAAUAUCGGGCAGUAUUUUUACAUCGUAAAAAUAUAAAUCCGGUAUUAAAAUACCCGUUUUUCGGCAAAAACUUCCAAAAAUAAAUAAAAAAAAUUGAAAAAAGAUUAAAAAAAAAAUGUUUUUGUGCAUACGGCCAAGUGUCUCAAAUCUAAAAAAUCAUAUCGUAUUUUGCAUAUGUCAAAGAAAAAUAUAUAUUUUAGCAUGCAUUUUGGCUUUAAUAACCAGUUUAUUAAAGUCAAGAGAACAUUGGCCAAAAUCUCAAAAACAACAAAAUAUUUUAUUUUGUUUGAUCUUAGUAUCAGAGAUUAUGAAUUUAUACGUAAAUCGUAUUCCUGAUAUUAAAAAAAGAUAUUUUCUUUUGACGACUUCGAAUAGUUAGUUUUUUUACCCGAUAAAGAUAAGGAUCUCCUUACAGAGGAGGACUUUUCUUAAACCGUAAACGAACCAACAAUUCAAAAAAACCACAACAUGAUUUUAGAUUUUAUCAGACAUUAAAACAAUGCAGCCUACCUUAGGUAGGGCGUAGUUGGGGUGCUAAUACCUUCCCUUUACGCAACCAGUCUCCG